AGAGUGAACGCUGGCGGUAGGCCUAACACAUGCAAGUCGAACGGCAGCACAGUAGGAGCUUGCUCUUACGGGUGGCGAGUGGCGGACGGGUGAGGAAUACAUCGGAAUCUACCUUUUGGUGGGGGAUAACGUAGGGAAACUUACGCUAAUACCGCAUACGCCCUUCGGGGGAAAGCCGGGGACCAGCAAUGGCCUGGCGCUGAUAGAUGAGCCGAUGUCGGAUUAGCUAGUUGGUGAGGUAAUGGCUCACCGAAGGCGACGAUCCGUAGCUGGUCU
rnacentral:rRNA from 1 species